UACGGGGGGAGCAAGCGUUGUUCGGAUUUACUGGGCGUAAAGGGCGCGUAGGCGGUCAGCACAAGUCAGUUGUGAAAUCUCCGGGCUUAACUCGGAAAGGUCAACUGAUACUGUGCGACUAGAGUGCAGAAGGGGCAACUGGAAUUCUCGGUGUAGCGGUGAAAUGCGUAGAUAUCGAGAGGAGCACCUGCGGCGAAGGCGGGUUGCUGGGCUGACACUGACGCUGAUGCGCGAAAGCCAGGGGAGCGAACGGG
rnacentral:rRNA from 1 species